rnacentral:lncRNA from 1 species
UUUCAGUCCCACCCCCCGACCUCCGGGGAGGAGAGAGGGAUUGAAGGUUAAGUUGAUCUUCAAUGGCCAAUGAUUUAAUCAAUCAUGCCUGUGUAAUGAAGCCUUCAUAAAAACCUAAAAAAGGACGGGGUUUGGAGAGCUUCCUGUAAGCGAACCCGUGAAGGUUCCAGGAGGAUGGCGCACCCGGAAAGGGCGUGGAAGCUCCGCGCCCCUUCCCACAGACUUUCCCCCAUCCAUCUCUUCAUCUGGUGUUCAUCGAUAGCCUUUGUAAUGUCCUUAAUAGUAAACCGGAAAACAUGUACACCUAACAGCAUGGUAAGGAAGCCCCAGAAGGAUGUUUCUAAAGACCAUGAGGGAGUCUGAAACCUGAAAUCAUGCCAAGGACUCUCUGCUUCUCUUUCACUUGGGGUGUCUAUCUGAUGCUGCCACAACCAGUUGAAACGUAUAACAUUAACAAUAAAAAUUAGUUUUUUUGUAACUAAUUUUAUGCCCCAUAAUUGUAUGCCCCACACAUGAUGUCUUUUUUCUCCAUUAAUUUUACCAGGUAUUCACAGUCAUGAUCAUUUAGAUCUAAUGCCACAGAACUUCAUAAACCCUUUACUACUAGAAAAACAUCCUAUUUUCUCAAAGGGAAGAAUCACAACAGAAACAGCUAAACAUAAACAUCUUAAGCCAUACUAUGAGCCACUUUUAAAUUCCUGCAGAGAGGAUACCUUUAAAAACAGCUGGAAGGAACCAACUGCCAAACUUCAACUGGCACUGUGAUUUCUGGAACUCCUUAUAGCAACAUUCUGUCCUACUAAAGAGUCAAUACUGAAAGUAUGUCACA